rnacentral:rRNA from 1 species
UUCGGUGGGGAUUAGUGGCGAACGGGUGAGUAACACGUGGGCAAUCUGCCCUUCACUCUGGGACAAGCCCUGGAAACGGGGUCUAAUACCGGAUACCACUACCGCAGGCAUCUGUGGUGGUUGAAAGCUCCGGCGGUGAAGGAUGAGCCCGCGGCCUAUCAGCUUGUUGGUGAGGUAAUGGCUCACCAAGGCGACGACGGGUAGCCGGCCUGAGAGGGCGACCGGCCACACUGGGACUGAGACACGGCCCAGACUCCUACGGGAGGCAGCAGUGGGGAAUAUUGCACAAUGGGCGAAAGCCUGAUGCAGCGACGCCGCGUGAGGGAUGACGGCCUUCGGGUUGUAAACCUCUUUCAGCAGGGAAGAAGCGAAAGUGACGGUACCUGCAGAAGAAGCGCCGGCUAACUACGUGCCAGCAGCCGCGGUAAUACGUAGGGCGCAAGCGUUGUCCGGAAUUAUUGGGCGUAAAGAGCUCGUAGGCGGCUUGUCACGUCGGGUGUGAAAGCCCGGGGCUUAACCCCGGGUCUGCAUUCGAUACGGGCUAGCUAGAGUGUGGUAGGGGAGAUCG